AUCCAGAUGAGGAGUCCCAAAUAGGACGAAACGCGCGUCCUGGAU
rnacentral:hammerhead_ribozyme from 1 species